GACGAACGCUGGCGGCGUGCUUAACACAUGCAAGUCGAACGGGCCUGUCUUCUUUUUUGGGGGUGGGUUGAGUGGCGAACGGGUGAGUAUCACGUGAGUAACCUGCCCUUCGGUCCUGGAUAACCGCUUGAAAGGGCGGCUAAUACGGGGUGGUCCGGUUGGUCCGCAUGGGCUGGUCGGGAUAGAUUCACUGUUUUUGGUGUUUCGGCGGGGGAUGGGCUCGCGGCCUAUCAGCUUGUUGGUGGGGUGAUGGCCUACCAAGGCGGUGACGGGUAGCCGGCCGGAGAGGGUGGGCGGCCACACUGGGACUGAGAUACGGCCCAGACUCCUGCGGGAGGCAGCAGUGGGGGGUAUUGCACAAUGGGCGGAAGCCUGAUGCAGCGACGUCGCGUGAGGGAGGGAGGCCUUCGGGUUGUGAACCUCUGUUUCCGGUGGUGAAGGCCCUGUCCGUGUGGUGGGGUUGACGGUAGCCGGUGAUGAAGCGCCGGCUAACUACGUG
rnacentral:rRNA from 1 species